GACUAGUUUUAUUAUUAACAAAUCAAAAAGAAAAAGCUAUCAUUUUUCUCUUCUCCUUCACCGAAAUAUGCAGCAAAGAAAGGGCUUUGAAGCUGGAAAAUUUCAGCAACAUAUUUCCCUUUCUUAUGAUGAAAAUCGAGAUUUGGACCUAGAACGGAAAGAAAUCGAUUAAGGGAUAAUUACGUCUUUUUUUUUUCACCUUUGUGGUAUCGAGAGUUUCCAGGUUAGCUCGGGUUGGAGGCCGUCAGAGAUAUUAUCACACUGUCAAGCUAACGCUAUUGGUGUAGUGAUUUCAAGUACUUUGAGCCUAUGGCAUGUAUAGGAGUUUAAAUAUUAGAGUAUGUGAUAUGGCUUUCACCAUAUGUGUUGGCCUAUUUUGAUUAUGGGGUUGUAAAUCUAUUUUAAUUAUGCAUGCAUGUGCUAUGGUAUUAUGUGAUGAGUUUAUAAUGAUUAUAGUAUGAAUGUGGUAAA